rnacentral:rRNA from 1 species
GACGAACGCUGGCGGCGUGCUUAACACAUGCAAGUCGAACGGUAAGGCUCCAGCUUGCUGGGGUACACGAGUGGCGAACGGGUGAGUAACACGUGGGUGACCUGCCCUGCACUUCGGGAUAAGCCUGGGAAACUGGGUCUAAUACCGGAUAGGACCGCACCGUGAGGGUGUGGUGGAAAGUUUUUGCGGUGUGGGAUGGGCCCGCGGCCUAUCAGCUUGUUGGUGGGGUAAUGGCCUACCAAGGCGGCGACGGGUAGCCGGCCUGAGAGGGUGGACGGCCACAUUGGGACUGAGACACGGCCCAGACUCCUACGGGAGGCAGCAGUGGGGAAUAUUGCACAAUGGGCGGAAGCCUGAUGCAGCGACGCCGCGUGGGGGAUGACGGCCUUCGGGUUGUAAACUCCUUUCACCAUCGACGAAGGGUUUCUGACGGUAGAUGGAGAAGAAGCACCGGCUAACUACGUG